rnacentral:misc_RNA from 1 species
GAUGAAGAACGCAGUGAAAUGCGAUAAGUAAUGUGAAUUGCAGAAUUCAGUGAAUCAUCGAAUCUUUGAACGCACCUUGCGCCCUUUGGCUAUUCCGAAGGGCAUGCCUGUUUGAGUAUCAUGAACACCUCAACUCUUCACGGCUUGCCGUGAUGAGUUUGGACUUUGGGGGUCUUGCUGGCCUACGAGCCAGCUCCUCUCAAAUGUAUUAGCUUGCCGGUGUUUGGUGGCAUCACAGGUGUGAUAACUAUCUACGCUUGUGGUUUUCCACUAGGUAACCUUCAGCAAUGGAGGUUCACCGGAGCUCACAAAUGUCUCUCCUUGCCAAGGACAGAUUUUGACCAUUUGAUCUCAAAUCAGGUAGGACUACCCGCUGAACUUAAGCAUAUCAAUAAGCGGAGGA